rnacentral:lncRNA from 10 species
GGAAACCUUUCUAAUGUGGCCUCAGAAGAGUGGAAUUUAAUUUAUGGCAGGGGUUAGCAGACUACAGCUUUUAGGCCAAUUCUGUCUUGCUGCCUGAUUUUGUAAAUAAAGUUUUAUUGGAACACAGCCAAGCUCACUUGUUUAUGUAUUGUCUAUGGCUGCUUUUGCACUAUGAUGGCAGAGUUGAGUAGUUGCAACAGGGACCAUAUGGCCUGCAAAGCCCUAAAUUAUUUACUCUUUGGCUCUUGACAUAAGUAGUUUGUUGACUCCUGCUUUAUGGCAAGAUUGGAACUCCCCUUCUAUGGACUGUCUUGAUCUUCUUAGCCACAGACUUUCACAUAUGCCAUACCCUCCAAGCAAACCUUAUUUGUCCUCAUCCAGAGAACAUUCCUGCUUUCCCUUUAUUGUUAUCUUCCUUGGUUUCAUUUGACCUCUCAUCCCCCUCCUGUCCUUCUGCCCUCUCCAGCCUGUCAUCAAUGGUUACCGAAAUAAGUCCACCUUCUCUGUGAACCGAGGUCCAGAUGGCAAUCCAAAGACUGUGGGGUUCUACCUGGGAACUUGGAGAGAUGGGAACGUUGUCUGUGUGCAGUCUAAUCAUCUGAAAAACAUCCCUGAGAAACACAGUCA